UACGUAGGGGGCAAGCGUUGUCCAGAAUUAUUGGGCGUAAAGAGCUCGUAGGCGGUUUGUCACGUCUGCUGUGAAAUCCCGAGGCUCAACCUCGGGCCUGCAGUGGGUACGGGCAGACUGGAGUGCGGUAGGGGAGAAUGGAAUUCCUGGUGUAGCGGUGGAAUGCGCAGAUAUCAGGAGGAACACCGAUGGCGAAGGCAGUUCUCUGGGCCGUAACUGACGCUGAGGAGCGAAAGCGUGGGGAGCGAACAGG
rnacentral:rRNA from 1 species